rnacentral:rRNA from 1 species
CGGGGGGAGCAAGCGUUGUUCGGAUUUACUGGGCGUAAAGGGCGCGUAGGCGGCCACGACAAGUCAGUUGUGAAAUCUCUGGGCUUAACUCAGAACGGUCAACUGAUACUGUCGGGCUAGAGUGCAGAAGGGGCAACUGGAAUUCUCGGUGUAGCGGUGAAAUGCGUAGAUAUCGAGAGGAACACCUGCGGCGAAGGCGGGUUGCUGGGCUGACACUGACGCUGAGGCGCGAAAGCUAGGGGAGCGAACGGGAUUAGAUACCCCGGUAGUCCUAGCCUUAAACGAUGAAUGCUUGGUGUCUCGGGUUUUAUAGUCCCGAGGAGCCGUCGCUAACGCAUUAAGCAUUCCGCCUGGGGAGUACGGUCGCAAGACUG